rnacentral:rRNA from 1 species
UGGGUUACUUAGAGUGCGGGCUUUGCCUGCCAUCUCUUACCCAUGUCUUUUGAGUACCUUCGUUUCCUCGGCGGGUUCGCCCGCCGGUUGGACAACACUUAAACCCUUUGUAAUUGAAAUCAGCGUCUGAAAAACUUUAAUAGUUACAACUUUCAACAACGGAUCUCUUGGUUCUGGCAUCGAUGAAGAACGCAGCGAAAUGCGAUAAGUAGUGUGAAUUGCAGAAUUCAGUGAAUCAUCGAAUCUUUGAACGCACAUUGCGCCCCUUGGUAUUCCAUGGGGCAUGCCUGUUCGAGCGUCAUUUGUACCUUCAAGCUCUGCUUGGUGUUGGGUGUUUGUCUCGCCUUUUGCGCGCAGACUCGCCUCAAAACGAUUGGCAGCCGGCGUAUUGAUUUCGGAGCGCAGUACAUCUCGCGCUUUGCACUCACAACGACGACGUCCAAAAAGUACAUUUUUACACUCUUGACCUCGGAUCAGGUAGGGAUACCCGCUGAACUUAAGCAUAUCAAAAAGCCGGAGGAAG